rnacentral:rRNA from 1 species
UACGUAGGGUGCGAGCGUUGUCCGGAAUUAUUGGGCGUAAAGAGCUCGUAGGCGGCCUGUCGCGUCGGAUGUGAAAGCCCGGGGCUCAACCUCGGGCCUGCAGUCGAUACGGGCAGACUAGAGUGCGGUAGGGGAGACUGGAAUUCCUGGUGUAGCGGUGAAAUGCGCAGAUAUCAGGAGGAACACCGGUGGCGAAGGCGGGUCUCUGGGCCGAUGACUGACGCUGAGGAGCGAAAGCGUGGGGAGCAAACAGG